UACGUAGGGUGCGAGCGUUGUCCGGAAUUAUUGGGCGUAAAGGGCUCGUAGGCGGUUUGUCGCGUCUGCCGGUGAAAGUCCGGGCUCAACUCCGGAUCUGCGGUGGGUACGGGCAGACUAGAGUGAUGUAGGGGAGACUGGAAUUCCUGGUGUAGCGGUGAAAUGCGCAGAUAUCAGGAGGAACACCGAUGGCGAAGGCAGGUCUCUGGGCAUUAACUGACGCUGAGGAGCGAAAGCAUGGGGAGCGAACAGG
rnacentral:rRNA from 1 species